AAAGCAAGAAAUAAGAAGAAAAAGGAAAGGCGGGGAUGAGUCUGAGAAUCAGAACGAUUUAUACCGAUUCCCUCGUGCAAACCCUAAUUUUCUUUGAUGAAAUUAUAAAGGGACGUGAGGAAGAGAAUUUCGAGCGUUACCGGAGUGAUUGGAGCUGUGGAGGUUGAGGAAUUUGAAUGAAAAGUCGGGUUAAGUCUGAAUUUCGGACAGUCUGAACAGGCUUCAGUGUUUUGAAGUUCUCGAGCUGUAGAAACCAAAUUUGAAGCUGAAAUUUUGAGGCUAGAAGACCGAGACUACACAGAAUUUCGGGCGAACAGAGAAACGUGACUUUUGGAACUGAUUCGGUGUUAUUCAAGCGUUUUCAAAGCUUCAAAUUCUCAGGGGUAUCAAGAAAUAUUUGACCGAUUCCAGAAGAUUUAGGGCGAUUCAAGACUCCAAAAUGUGAGGCCAAGUUCAAUUAGGAGAGGCUUAUAAAUCCGAAGGAUCGAGCCUGAAAUUAUAGUGGUCAUCUUCCCAGAGGAUAGUUGUCAUACUGCUCUGCCACUCAAGGACUCCAGUUAAAAGUCCAAAGUCUAAAGAGAAGUUUUAGGUGUCUAUUCUGUAAAUGUCUGUUCAUAUGUGUUGCUCAUAUUAGGGACUAGUAAAGUAUAUUGGGACUCGCUGAACUCUAUAUAUGUUAAUAUGAUGUAGUUAUGUUAUUGUUGA